rnacentral:rRNA from 1 species
UACGAAGGGGGCUAGCGUUGUUCGGAAUUACUGGGCGUAAGCGCACGUAGGCGGAUUGUUAAGUUAGGGGUGAAAUCCCGGGGCUCAACCCCGGAACUGCCUUUAAUACUGGCAAUCUCGAGUCCGAGAGAGGUGAGUGGAAUUCCGAGUGUAGAGGUGAAAUUCGUAGAUAUUCGGAGGAACACCAGUGGCGAAGGCGGCUCACUGGCUCGGUACUGACGCUGAGACGCGAAAGCGUGGGUAGCAAACGAGG